rnacentral:rRNA from 1 species
CCUACGCGCGGCUGCAGUGAGGAAUAUUGGUCAAUGGGCGCGAGCCUGAACCAGCCAAGUAGCGUGAAGGAUGAAUGCCCUACGGGUUGUAAACUUCUUUUAUAAAGGAAUAAAGUGAGGCACGUGUGCCUUUUUGUAUGUACUUUAUGAAUAAGGAUCGGCUAACUCCGUGCCAGCAGCCGCGGUAAUACGGAGGAUCCGAGCGUUAUCCGGAUUUAUUGGGUUUAAAGGGAGCGUAGAUGGGUUGUUAAGUCAGUUGUGAAAGUUUGCGGCUCAACCGUAAAAUUGCAAUUGAUACUGGCAGUCUCGAGUACAGUUGAGGUAGGCGGAAUUCGUGGUGUAGCGGUGAAAUGCUUAGAUAUCACGAAGAACUCCGAUUGCGAAGGCAGCUUACUAAACUGCCACUGACAUUGAUGCUCGAAAGUGUGGGUAUCAAACAGGAUUAGAUACCCUAGUAGUC